rnacentral:rRNA from 1 species
AUUGAACGCUGGCGGCAGGCCUAACACAUGCAAGUCGAACGGUAGCACAGAGAGCUUGCUCUCGGGUGACGAGUGGCGGACGGGUGAGUAACGUCUGGGAAACUGCCCGAUGGAGGGGGAUAACUACUGGAAACGGUAGCUAAUACCGCAUAACGUCGCAAGACCAAAGUGGGGGACCUUCGGGCCUCACACCAUCGGAUGUGCCCAGAUGGGAUUAGCUAGUAGGUGGGGUAAUGGCUCACCUAGGCGACGAUCCCUAGCUGGUCUGAGAGGAUGACCAGCCACACUGGAACUGAGACACGGUCCAGACUCCUACGGGAGGCAGCAGUGGGGAAUAUUGCACAAUGGGCGCAAGCCUGAUGCGGCCAUGCCGCGUGUAUGAAGAAGGCCUUCGGGUUGUAAAGUACUUUCAGCGGGGAGGAAGGCGGUGAAGUUAAUAACUUCACCGAUUGACGUUACCCGCAGAAGAAGCACCGGCUAACUCCGUGCCAGCCGCCGCGGUAAAAC